UACCUAUGACCGCACAAAAUUGAAGACCUUCUAGAUUCUUCCAUUAAAGCCCAACAACAAAUCUAGGCCGUUCAUUCCCUUCCUUCAAUAAAACCACAGAUCCUACGCUAGCCGCCUCCUUCCUCUUCUCCUUUUCAUUCCCAAAUACCUAAAUCCCAAAUCUUCUCAACUUUGGAUUUCAAUUUUCAAUCGAUUUGUGAUUUGCAGGUGAAAAUUGAGUAAUUAAGUUGAAAUCAAAGAUGUUCGGGAGAGCACCAAAGAAGAGUGACAACUCGAAGUACUAUGAGAUCUUAGGAGUUCCUAAGAGUGCUUCACAAGAUGAUCUGAAAAAAGCUUACCGUAAAGCCGCCAUUAAAAAUCAUCCUGAUAAGGGCGGUGAUCCUGAAAAAUUUAAGGAGCUUGCCCAAGCCUAUGAGGUUUUGAGUGACCCAGAGAAGCGUGAGAUUUAUGAUCAGUACGGUGAAGAUGCUCUUAAGGAAGGAAUGGGUGGUGGAGGUGGUGCACACGACCCAUUUGACAUAUUCCAGUCAUUCUUUGGUGGCGGUGGAUUUGGCGGUGGUGGAAGCAGCAGAGGAAGAAGGCAAAGGAAAGGGGAGGAUGUUGUCCACCCUCUCAAGGUCUCUUUGGAGGAUCUCUACAGUGGGACAUCAAAGAAGCUAUCACUAUCUCGCAAUGUGUUGUGCUCAAAAUGCAAGGGAGUAGGAUCUAAAUCAGGUGCUUCAAUGAAAUGUUCGGGUUGUCAAGGGUCUGGAAUGAAAGUUUCUAUCAGACAACUUGGCCCCAUGAUCCAGCAGAUGCAGCACCCUUGUAACGAUUGUAAGGGUACUGGUGAGAAAAUCAACGAGAAAGAUAGGUGCCCACAGUGUAAGGGUGAGAAAGUUGUGCAGCAGAAGAAGGUGUUGGAAGUUCAUGUGGAGAAGGGUAUGCAGAAUGGACAAAAGAUUACAUUCCCAGGAGAGGCUGACGAAGCGCCCGAAACUAUCACUGGGGACAUAGUUUUUAUAUUACAACAGAAGGAACACCCCAAGUUUAAGCGUAAGGGAGAUGAUCUCUUUGUAGAGCACACCUUGACCUUGACUGAGGCGCUAUGUGGUUUCCAGUUCGUCUUGACACACCUAGACAGCAGACAGCUGCUCAUUAAAUCCCAACCUGGAGAAGUUGUCAAGCCUGAUCAAUUUAAGGGCAUAAAUGAUGAAGGAAUGCCAAUGUACCAAAGGCCAUUCAUGAGGGGAAAACUGUACAUUCACUUCACUGUAGACUUCCCCGAUACAUUUGCUCCAGAGAUGUGCAAGAACCUUGAAGCAGUACUGCCGCCAAGGCCUAAAACACAAGCUUCCGAUAUGGAGUUGGACGAGUGCGAGGAGACCACUUUGCAUGAUGUGAACAUGGAAGAAGAGAUGCGUAGGAAGAGGCAGCAGCAGGCCCAAGAGGCAUACGAGGAAGAUGAUGAGGACGAUAUGCAUGGUGGUGCGCAAAGAGUGCAAUGUGCACAACAGUAAUUCAUGUGUCUUUUGGCAGAUAACAGGAGUUAUUCCGGCAAGGAAGUACCAAGCCCUGGUCUUGGGUUUGAUGAUAGGGUUGAUAAGGAAUGACAGCCAGGAAUGUGCUUUUUGUAGGAGAUAGAGAAUAGAUUACUAUGAAUUUGGAUUUUAUUUAUGCAAAUUGAAGGGUUAUUGACAAUUGUAAGAGUGCUGAAAGAUUUUGCGACUUUUGAACCACAGCUUUAUUCAAUUCUUUGAUUUCCAAACUGA